rnacentral:pre_miRNA from 1 species
ACAACAUUUGGACCUUCGGUCUACCGAGCAAUAUCACCCGCUCGGUGGAAGAUCUUCCUUUUUUUUU